rnacentral:lncRNA from 1 species
AUCAAGAGGCCCACCUGGCCUGUGUGACCCCCAUACUGUGCUGAGGGCACAGGCCUGGUCUCCUUCAGGCUGGGGCUGUGGGAGGGGUGGCUUUGUGGGGUGCCGAGGGCAACUGACUACAUGGAGGGUAUUGAGAUGUGCUGGCCCGGACCCCCCCUUAUGCAUCUCUACCUUCAUGGCCCCUCUGGGCGGCACAUAUAGAGGAACCAUGGCUUGGUCAGAAAGCCACUGCUGUCCGGAAAGGAAGGGAGUUUGCUGGGCUGGGGUCCGUGGGGGUGGGGCUCAGAGAAAAAGUCCUUUUCUUGUCCUGGAAUUCAGGACUUCGUGUUUUGGGCACUCACUGAAGGUCUUGAGAGGGAGUCCUUGCCUCCCGGAGUCACUCUGUGCCCUGAGUCAGUCUCAGACACUUGAAUCAUCCCCUGGAGCUGGUGCCUUGGGGGAAGGGCAGGCCCGGGGUCCCGGAAGCCACCUGCCCAGGGUGUGUGAGAUGGUCUCUUCAGCCCCCCUCCCGCCAAUACCCAGCCUCGUCUCUGGUUUCCUGUCAGUCUGUCCUCCCCUGGGAGGGGAGGGGCGCUAAUCUCCGCUGUGGUGUGGGGGCGGGCUCCAAGACCGUUGGGCGCCCUGAGAUCUGGCCCACGUGGCCUCGGGGUUAUAAGCCCUGCCCGCCCUGAAGGGAACCCCACUUGGGAGCCUGGAGCGCAGGACUUGCUCCCUUCAGCCCUGCAGCAUCAGCCAACCAGGGAAAUGCCACAUCAGCUCCUCCGCUGCCUUGAGGCCUGGGAGGGCUGGACAUUUGGACCUGACGCAGCUGUGGAGAGGCCCCGGCGCCGGGGCCCAGCCUCGAAUGGACAGAUGCCAGGACAAAGAAGAGGCGGGAAAGGAGGGUAGAUGGAAGGGAAUGGGGGGGGUGCCAGGGACCCCAACACUAAUAAAGAAUGGACUCUGCUUCUCUUUUGUCUGAGAUUCUGUUGCUGGGAUUGGGAGGCUGAAUGGGUUCAGCAGGCACAUUGGUGGCGUGGGUGCACAGAGGGACUGGGAGGGAGAAUCACUCUCACUCUCCUGAGAGAUAUGGGUUUGGCCCUGCCUUUGAGGCCAGAAGAGGGCUCUGGGCCUGGCCAGGCCGCAGCUGCCAAGGAAGGAUGCCUGGGGUGAGGACCUCCCUGCAAAAGGAGGAAAGGGGGCAGGACAUGGAGGGGCAGGGUCACGAGAGCCCUCCCACCUUUUACUUGAGCUCCGGCUCUGCCCUCCACUUACUUUCCACACCCCCAAACUGAAGGCUGCCUACCACCAGUCCUAAUCUAAGAAAGUCUAGAGGGUUGUUGGUAGUAUAAGAAGUGGACACACACCCACUACGGCCCCCACACAAAGCAUCUUCUACAUAGACAAGGGCACAGAUACUCCUAUACAAAGCACAUACUUUGUCAUGCGUGUGCAUUUACGUACAGGGUCCCUGUACACAUAUGCUAUCAACACACGUGUACAGUGACAGACACAUGUGACAUGGCUGGCAUGUCACACAAUGAUAUACACACACUCAGGACACAUACAUAUUCAAUGGUACACACACG